rnacentral:rRNA from 1 species
UGCGUAGGCGGAUUUAUAAGUCAGUGGUGAAAUCCUACAGCUUAACUGUAGAACUGCCAUUGAUACUGUAGAUCUUGAGUACGGUUGAGGUGGGCGGAAUGUGUCAUGUAGCGGUGAAAUGCUUAGAUAUGACACAGAACACCAAUUGCGAAGGCAGCUCGCUAAACCGUAACUGACGCUGAUGCACGAAAGCGUGGGGAGCGAACAGGAUUAGAUACCCUGGUAGUCC